rnacentral:tRNA from 1 species
GCGCCCGUCGCCAAGUCCGGUAAGGCAGUCGCCUGCAGAGCGACCAUUCCCCAGUUCGAAUCUGGGCGGGCGCU